GAUGAACGCUGGCGGCGUGCCUGACACAUGCAAGUCGAACGAAGCACUUUUAGCCGAUCCCUUCGGGGUGAAGCUGAUUGUGACUUAGUGGCGGACGGGUGAGUAACGCGUGGGUAACCUGCCCUAUACAAGGGGAUAACAGUUAGAAAUGACUGCUAAUACCGUAUAAGCAUACAGUAUCGCAUGAUACCGUGUGAAAAACUCUGGUGGUAUAGGAUGGGCCCGCGUCUGAUUAGCUAGUUGGUAGGGUAAAGGCCUACCAAGGCAACGAUCAGUAGCCGGCUUGAGAGAGUGAACGGCCACAUUGGGACUGAGACACGGCCCAAACUCCUACGGGAGGCAGCAGUGGGGAAUAUUGCACAAUGGGGGAAACCCUGAUGCAGCAACGCCGCGUGAGUGAAGAAGUAUUUCGGUAUGUAAGCUCUAUCAGCAGGGAAGAAAAUGACGGUACCUGACUAAGAAGCCCCGGCUAACUACGUGCCAGCAGCCGCGGUAA
rnacentral:rRNA from 1 species